UCGAGUUUUGACCGGGUUGUAGCUGGCCUUCCGAGGCAUGUGCACGCCCUGCUCAUCCACUCUACACCUGUGCACUUACUGUGGGCUUCAGAUUGCGAGGCACGCUCUUUACCGGGCUUGCGGAGCAUAUCUGUGCCUGCGUUUAUCACAAACUCUAUAAAGUAACAGAAUGUGUAUUGCGAUGUAACACAUCUAUAUA
rnacentral:misc_RNA from 2 species